rnacentral:rRNA from 1 species
CUAAUCAAGCCUGGUGAUAGCUGGUUCUCCCCGAAAGCUAUUUAGGUAGCGCCUCGGACGAAUACCAUAGGGGGUAGAGCACUGUUUCGGCUAGGGGGUCAUCCCGACUUACCAAACCGAUGCAAACUCCGAAUACCUAUGAGUACUAUCCGGGAGACAGACUGCGGGUGCUAACGUCCGUAGUCAAGAGGAAAACAAUCCAGACCGCCAGCUAAGGCCCCAAAAUCAUAGUUAAGUGGGAAACGAUGUGGGAAGGCAUAGACAGCUAGGAGGUUGGCUUAGAAGCAGCCACCCUUUAAAGAAAGCGUAAUAGCUCACUAGUCGAGUCGGCCUGCGCGGAAGAUGUAACGGGGCUAAAACUAUGUGCCGAAGCUGCGGAUGUAUACUUUGUAUACGUGGUAGGGGAGCGUUCUGUAAGCCGAUGAAGGUGUGUUGAGAAGCAUGCUGGAGGUAUCAGAAGUGCGAAUGCUGACGUGAGUAACGACAAAACGGGUGAAAAACCCGUUCGCCGAAAGACCAAGGGUUCCAGUCCAACGUUAAUCGGGGCUGGGUGAGUCGACCCCUAAGGCGAGGCCGAAAGGCGUAGUCGAUGGGAAAAUGGUUAAUAUUCCAUUACUUCUGUGUAAUGCGAUGAGAGGACGGAGAAGGCUAAAUCAGCCUGGCGUUGGUUGUCCAGGUGAAAGGAUGUAGGCAUGUAUCUUAGGCAAAUCCGGGGUACUCUAUGCUGAGAUCUGAUAGCAAGCUGUACUUGUACAGCGAAGUGGUUGAUGCCAUGCUUCCAGGAAAAGUCUCUAAGCUUCAGUUACACAGGAAUCGUACCCGAAACCGACACAGGUGGUCAGGUCGAGUAGACCAAGGCGCUUGAGAGAACUCUGCUGAAGGAACUAGGCAAAAUGGUACCGUAACUUCGGGAGAAGGUACGCUGUUGUUGGUGAUGGAACUCGCUUCCUGAGCUGACGACAGCCGCAGAAACCAGGCCGCUGCAACUGUUUAUUAAAAACAUAGCACUCUGCAAACACGAAAGUGGACGUAUAGGGUGUGAUGCCUGCCCGGUGCUGGAAGGUUAAUUGAUGGGGUUAGCGUAAGCGAAGCUCUUGAUCGAAGCCCCAGUAAACGGCGGCCGUAACUAUAACGGUCCUAAGGUAGCGAAAUUCCUUGUCGGGUAAGUUCCGACCUGCACGAAUGGCAUAAUGAUGGCGGCGCUGUCUCCAGCAGAGGCUCAGUGAAAUCGAAAUCGCUGUGAAGAUGCAGUGUACCCGCGGCUAGACGGAAAGACCCCGUGAACCUUUACUGCAGCUUGACACUGAACUUUGACCUUACUUGUGUAGGAUAGGUGGGAGGCUUUGAAGCUGGAACGCUAGUUCCAGUGGAGCCGUCCUUGAAAUACCACCCUGGUAAUGUUGAGGUUCUAACUCUGUCCCGUGAUCCGGGACGAGGACCGUGUCUGGUGGGUAGUUUGACUGGGGCGGUCUCCUCCUAAAGAGUAACGGAGGAGUACGAAGGUGCGCUCAGCGUGGUCGGAAAUCACGCGUAGAGUAUAAAGGCAAAAGCGCGCUUAACUGCGAGACCCACAAGUCGAGCAGGUACGAAAGUAGGUCUUAGUGAUCCGGUGGUUCUGUAUGGAAGGGCCAUCGCUCAACGGAUAAAAGGUACUCUGGGGAUAACAGGCUGAUACCGCCCAAGAGUUCAUAUCGACGGCGGUGUUUGGCACCUCGAUGUCGGCUCAUCUCAUCCUGGGGCUGAAGCAGGUCCCAAGGGUAUGGCUGUUCGCCAUUUAAAGAGGUACGCGAGCUGGGUUUAGAACGUCGUGAGACAGUUCGGUCCCUAUCUACCGUGGGCGCUGGAAAUUUGAGAGGAUCUGCUCCUAGUACGAGAGGACCAGAGUGGACGAACCUCUGGUGUACCGGUUGUGACGCCAGUCGCAUCGCCGGGUAGCUAUGUUCGGAAGGGAUAACCGCUGAAAGCAUCUAAGCGGGAAGCCUACCUCAAGAUAAGAUUUCCCUAGGACUUUAUGUCCUCUAAAGAGCCGUUCGAGACUAGGACGUUGAUAGGUUGGAUGUGGAAGCAUAGUGAUAUGUGAAGCUGACCAAUACUAAUUGCUCGUGAGGCUUGACUA